rfam:Ictidomys tridecemlineatus contig110395, whole genome shotgun sequence.
GGGGAUGUGGCUCAAGCGGUAGUGCGCUCGCCUAGCAUGCGUGCGGCCCGGGUUCGAUCCUCAGCAGCACCA